GUAAAAUGAUUAAUUAUUUCAGAUAUGUAAUUGGUAUUACACGUCCAUCAAGUGGAGGAAAUAUGAAGAAAAUUCUAGACUUGGUUAAUUAAUUAGAAUGGUGCCACUUGUACACCUUAUCUUCCAUAAAAUUUAAUAAUGAAUUUUAGACUUAUAUAAACUACAAAUAAUAUUAUUCAUCUUCCUUCUACUUGAAAACUCUCGGCUCUCUCCCUCUUUGAAAUACAAGAAAAUUUUCUCUUCCAUUCUUGAUCAUGUCUUGAAAAGAAUUAAAGGAAAAUCAAGUGUAAAUGAUAAAGUUAAGCUACACCCAAAUGUUAGCAAAUGAAAGGAAAAAGGAUCGGCGAAAGAAGAAAUGUCGAAUGGAAAGGUUUGGAAACAACGUCAUCCAGAUGUAGUUUAUGACAUAUGUGAAGUUUUGUAUUAUUAUACCCCUCUGAUGACAUAGUUUGGAAAUUUGAAGUCGUGGACGGAGAUUUGACUACUGGUUAAUUGGAUCAGGGAUUUCUUUGGAUAUUUCUUUCGUUUCUUUGCCAGCACUGCAUCCACGGUGGGUCACUAAUCACUGCUUGCGGCGUUUGUGUCCAUUUAUGUUAGAUGUGGCAUGUAUAGUAUUUGAACAUUUGCAAUAGCUUCCGCUGUGUUUGUAAAUAGUGUUGGAACUUUUGCUGAUAGGUUAAUGAAUUAAGUUUGGUUUUUAA